AGGAAGAGUGUGGGGCACAGACCGUAACACACAGAGCUCAGAGCUAAGCUGCCAUCACAGCUCGUUUUUGACAAUCAUCAACUACCAGCUGAUGGAGAGAAGCUGUGGUGAAGAAUCACGCAGGUCACUGGGAGACGCAGCAGCGUGGGUUCAGCUCCUGAGAACCUCAGCAGGACAUCUGCAUCUCAACCCUACCUUCCACUCAUCAAACCAUAUAUUCUGCAGGAAGGAGUCUUGUUUCUGGCCAGGAGGAUCUGUAGCUGAGCUUACAGAUGAUGCUGAAGACAACAGGCAGUUUGUGGCUUGUACUUCUGGUCAGAGCAGGCUGCUGAGUGGACUUCAAGGACUGUUUUAAACAUCUUCAUGGACAAUACAGUGGAUUUAUUCCCUUGAGGCUAUACAUUUUUAAUACUGUCUUGCCAUGUAU